rnacentral:rRNA from 1 species
AUUGAACGCUGGCGGCAGGCCUAACACAUGCAAGUUGAGCGGAUGAGGGCAGCUUGCUUCCUGAUUUAGCGGCGGACGGGUGUGUAAUGCCUAGGAAUCUGCCUAUUAGUGGGGGAUAACGUUCCGAAAGGAACGCUAAUACCGCAUACGUCCUACGGGAGAAAGUGGGGGAUCUUCGGACCUCACGCUAAUAGAUGAGCCUAGGUCGGAUUAGCUAGUUGGUGAGGUAACGGCCCACCAAGGGGAAGAUCCGUAGCUGGUCUGAGAGGAUGAUCAGACAAAAUGGAACUGAGACACGGUCCGUACUACUACGGGAGGCAGCAGUGGGGAAUAGUGGACAAUGGGCGAAAGCCUGAUCCAGCCAUGCCGCGUGUGUGAAGAAGGUCUUCGGAUUGGAAAGCACUUUAAGUUGGGAGGAAGGGCUGUAAGCUAAUAUCUUGCAGCUUUGACGUUACCAACAGAAUAAGCACCGGCUAACUCUUUGCCAGCAGCCGCAGUAACAC